rnacentral:rRNA from 1 species
AACGAACGCUGGCGGCAUGCCUAACACAUGCAAGUCGAACGAGACCUUCGGGUCUAGUGGCGCACGGGUGCGUAACGCGUGGGAACCUUCCCUUAGGUUCGGAAUAACUCCCCGAAAGGGGUGCUAAUACCGGAUAAUGUCUUCGGACCAAAGAUUUAUCGCCUUUGGAUGGGCCCGCGUUGGAUUAGCUAGUUGGUAGGGUAAAAGCCUACCAAGGCGACGAUCCAUAGAUGGUCUGAGAGGAUGAUCAGCCACACUGGGACUGAGACACGGCCCAGACUCCUACGGGAGGCAGCAGUGGGGAAUAUUGGACAAUGGGCGAAAGCAUGAUCCAGCAAUGCCGCGUGAGUGAUGAAGGCCUUAGGGUUGUAAAGCUCUUUUAACCGGGAUGAUAAUGACAGUACCGGGAGAAUAAGCUCCGGCUAACUCCGUG